rnacentral:rRNA from 1 species
AACGAACGCUGGCGGCAUGCCUAACACAUGCAAGUCGAACGAGACCUUCGGGUCUAGUGGCGCACGGGUGCGUAACGCGUGGGAACCUGCCCUUAGGUUCGGAAUAACUCCCCGAAAGGGGUGCUAAUACCGGAUAAUUUCUUCGGACCAAAGAUUUAUCGCCUUUGGAUGGGCCCGCGUUGGAUUAGCUAGUUGGUAGGGUAAAAGCCUACCAAGGCGACGAUCCAUAGCUGGUCUGAGAGGAUGAUCAGCCACACUGGGACUGAGACACGGCCCAGACUCCUACGGGAGGAAGAAGUGGGGAAUAUUGGACAGUGGGCGAAAGAAUGAUCCAGCAAUGCCGCGUGAGUGAUGAAGGACUUAGGGUUGUAAAGCUCUUUUACCCGGGAUGAUAAUGACAGUACCGGGAGAAUAAGCUCCGGCUAACUCCGUG